AACACAAGAGUUUGAUCCUGGCUCAGGACGAACGCUGGCGGCGUGCUUAACACAUGCAAGUCGAACGAGGAUCGAUAGGGAGCUUGCUCCCGGUUGAUCCGA
rnacentral:rRNA from 1 species